rnacentral:rRNA from 1 species
UACGUAGGUUGCAAGCGUUGUCCGGAUUUACUGGGCGUAAAGGGCGUGCAGGCGGUUUGUUAAGUCUAGGGUGAAAGCUCCCGGCUCAACUGGGAGAGGUCCUUGGAUACUGGCAGACUUGAGGGAGGCAGAGGAAAGUGGAAUUCCCGGUGUAGUGGUGAUAUGCGUAGAUAUCGGGAGGAACACCAGUGGCGAAGGCGGCUUUCUGGGCCUUACCUGACGCUGAGACGCGAAAGCGUGGGGAGCGAACCGG